rnacentral:rRNA from 1 species
AAGGAGGGGACGGAGGCGGAGGAGGGAAAAUAGAGAGACGGGUGGAGGGCUGCAAAGCGGGGGGUAAAGCUUCGGGUGGCUUAAGGAGCGCUAAGGAGAGGGGAGCGGAGGAGCAGGAGGGGGAGGAUCCCCUAGCGGCCUCUCCUUAGCGCUGCUCCCGAAGGAGGAUAGUCAAUUUAGUUUCGGUACCUCGUGUUCCUCUGGCCGACGGUCAGAGCCCUCCCGGGGUAGGAAACGCAGUUAUUAACACCGAAGAAGCCGUCGCGCCGCUGGUACUUGUACACGAGGUUCACGGUGUUCCUCUACCGCUACUUCGUCCUCGUCCGUUUCGACCGGCGGAGGAGAAAGCUGUCGUAGCAGUUGCCACCGCUACGGCGCUUUCUUGUAGAACGACGACCGUCGUGCCGCCACCGUCAACGAGUGCAACUCCGCUUCUGCGAAUAAUGGCGUGUCGGACGACUAUAGCGACCAGGUUCGCUCCCCCGCUACCUCUUGGGGUUUCCGGGUUCGGCCACGUCGUGGACGUCUUUCUCCCAGCCCGACUGGCCUAAGUUGACGGCCACACCCUUGGACAUGACGCGUUGCGUGGCAAUGAGCCUGUUCGUGCUCACGUUCAAACUGAUGGCGCGGCGCCGGUACCUGCGGUAGCGGUUCCGGUUGGGUCACCACUUCCGCCUCUUCGAACUGUUCUAGAUCCUUCCCAGGGGGGAUGCCAGCCGUCUUGUAUUCCAGGGUUUAGUUUAGACGCGAUGGAGCAGUAGCACGCAGAACGACGUAAUAGGAAAGUAGUACAACCGAAGACGUUAGAAUCAACAACCCGUUAGCACUACGUACCGUGUGCGCGGAGCCGCCGUCGGGGUCCAGGCUUGCCAGAGGAACAACCGAUACAACACAUUCGAAAUAAAUACCAGCAGAGAGACGCGCCGCCUUGCCCUUGCCAUAACACCGAAAGCGUAAAACCGAUCGUGAGACAUUACAUGACGACAAAGGAGGGCCACAGACAGACAGACAGAAUGUCAGCGUUGGCCAUUACCAUAGCUCAUUCGCAGCAGCAGACAAUAAUACCAUGGGUACCACUAGGGGGGAACAGUUA